UCAUGCGCUAACUAGGAGUAGGCAGGUCUGAGUUUGUGGAUCUUGAUAUUCAGAACUCUAUUACAUUACCUUUUCCCCCACAAGAUCGCAACCUCUAGAGAGAAGAAUCCUCCACCUAGCUCACGACUUCUUCCAUCUUCCUCAUACACUCGGCUGAACAUAAGGCAACAAAGUCUGCAUGUUCCUUCCGUUCCCUCUUUUUCCCACAAGUCACAUGUUCUUGGAAAGGAAACAUGAGAACCUAAGCACACACAUCUUCCAUUCCCUUCCCUGCAUGGUUCGGCUGAGUGGCAGCAGCCAAGGAGAGCGCAAUAUGAGUUCAUCCUUCCUACUUUUCUUGUUCGGUCGUGUGCUUCCAUGCAAAGAGGUGUAGAAAUUUCCUACUCCCUUGAUCAUCUUUUCCCUUUUCGAUUUGAUGAGGAGAGUCAAUGGCAUGCAUAUUACUUCUUUUGGUUCUUAAUGGAACUCCUCUGCAUGCAGCUGCAAACAUGACUUCUGUCAAGGAAGACCAUCAUCUUUAAAAUUCGGACCUACCUUCCAUUGCAUGCAAGAACAAUGGGAAGGUGAGGGUGCUGCCCCUCUUGUGGUUGAUGCGCAUGACUGAUUUGGGGAGCAGACUGGGAACAUAAGAAAGGUGUGCUAACCUCUAAAAGAAUGGGCUGAUUGGUGAUGUUUUGAUUUAAAAAGGGUUAAAGACUCGAGGAGGACUUAGAAGCAUAUGAUGAAAUGUUUGUUUAGACGCAUUCUGUUUGUCUGCUGCUGUCUUGAGAAUUCUGCUAUUGUACACUAUUGUUGUUGACUGCUGGCUAUAUAUUCCUAGUCAAUGUGAUAUUUUGAGAAACUGGAAAACGUUGGAAAAUAAUCUUAUUUUGCUGCACUUUGGAAUUUUUACAUUUUGUAUUAACUGAUGUAAUCCUGGUACUUAAUUUGCGAAAAUAAUUGCUGUCGUAAUUGGAUUUGGACUUUUGAACUGUUUUGCGAGCACUUUGCGAGUUGUCGUUCUGGGGC